CAUGUUAGCAUCUUAUAUCCAGUGUGUAUAGCUCUAUCAGGGGGAUAUUCAGCUGGCCCAUGUUAGCAUGUUAGCAUGUUAUAUCCAGUGUGUAUAGCUCUAUCAGGGGGAUAUUCAGCUGGCCCAUGUUAGCAUGUUAUAUCCAGUGUGUUUAGCUCUAUCAGGGGGAUAUUCAGCUGGCCCAUGUUAGCAUGUUAGCAUGUUAUAUACAGUGUGUUUAGCUCUAUCAGGGGGAUAUUCAGCUGGCCCAUGUUAGCAUGUUAACAUGUUAUAUCUAGUGUGUAUAGCUCUAUUAGGGAGGAAUAUCCAGCUGGCCCAUGUUAGCAUGUUAGCAUGUUAUAUCCAGUGUGUAUAGCUCUAUUAGGGGGAAUAUCCAGCUGGCCCAUGUUAGCAUGUUAGCAUGUUAUAUCCAGUGUGUAUAGCUCUAUUAGGGGGAAUAUCCAGCUGGCCCAUGUUCUAUCCAGUGUGUAUAGGUCUAUUAGGGGGAAUAUCCAGCUGGCCCAUGUUAUAUCCAGUGUGUAUAGGUCUAUUAGGGAGGAAUAUUCAGCUGGCCCAUGUUAGCAUGUUAGCAUGUUAUAUCCAGUGUGUAUAGCUCUAUUAGGGGGAAUAUCCAGCUGGCCCAUGUUCUAUCCAGUGUGUACAGCUCUAUUUGGGGGAAUAUCCAGCUGGCCCAUGUUAUAUCCAGUGUGUAUGGGUCUAUUAGGGGGAAUAUCCAGCUGGCCCAUGUUCUAUCCAGUGUGUAUAGGUCUAUUAGGGGGAAUACCCAGCUGGCCCAUGUUCUAUCCAGUGUGUAUAGGUCUAUUAGGGGAAAUAUCCAGCUGGCCCGGCCCAUGUUCUAUCCAGUGUGUAUAGGUCUAUUUGGGGGAAUAUCCAGCUGGCCCAUGUUAUAUCCAGUGUGUAUAGCUCUAUUAGGGGGAAUAUCCAGCUGGCCCAUGUUCUAUCCAGUGUGUAUAUGUCUAUUUGGGGGAAUAUCCAGCUGGCCCAUGUUAUAUCCAGUGUGUAUAGGUCUAUUAGGGGGAAUAUCCAGCUGGCCCAUGUUAUAUCCAGUGUGUAUAGGUCUAUUAGGGGGAAUAUCCAGCUGGCCCAUGUUAUAUCCAGUGUGUAUAGGUCUAUUAGGGGGAAUAUCCAGCUGGCCCAUGUUAUAUCCAGUGUGUAUAGGUCUAUUAGGGGGAAUAUCCAGCUGGCCCAUGUUCUAUCCAGUGUGUAUAGGUCUAUUAGGGAGGAAUAUCCAGCUGGCCCAUGUUAUAUCCAGUGUGUAUAGGUCUAUUAGGGGGAUUAUCCAGCUGGCCCAUGUUCUAUCCAGUGUGUAUAGGUCUAUUAGGGAGGAAUAUCCAGCUGGCCCAUGUUAUAUCCAGUGUGUAUAGGCCUAUUUGGGGGAAUAUCCAGCUGGCCCAUGUUCUAUCCAGUGUGUAUAGGUCUAUUAGGGGGAAUAUCCAGCUGGCCCAUGUUAUAUCCAGUGUGUAUAGGUCUAUUAGGGGGAAUAUCCAGCUGGCCCAUGUUAUAUCCAGUGUGUAUAGGUCUAUUAGGGGGAAUAUCCAGCUGGCCCAUGUUAUAUCCAGUGUGUAUAGGUCUAUUAGGGGGAAUAUCCAGCUGGCCCAUGUUAUAUCCAGUGUGUAUAGGUCUAUUAGGGGGAAUAUCCAGCUGGCCCAUGUUCUAUCCAGUGUGUAUAGGUCUAUUAGGGGGAAUAUCCAGCUGGCCCAUGUUAUAUCCAGUGUGUAUAGGUCUAUUAGGGAGGAAUAUCCAGCUGGCCCAUGUU